UCCUAUAACGGUAAUGUGGGAAGUUUAAAAAUCUUAGUGUUUUUGCAGAUUUGGUAACAAGAAGAGGUUUAACAUACAUAGUAUGGAGGUUCGAGUCAUGUGGAAUAUCAGAACCGCACUCAACCUGGCAUUCCUAGAUCUGAAUAUUGAAGGAGAAUGGCAUCUCUUUUGUAAGACUAUAGAAAGAGCUAAACAUGUUAUGAUAUGCUCUCCAAUCCUCUGGACCAGACCUAGUAGGGGUUGGGUCAAACGUAAUACGGAUGGAAGCUAUGUGGAGCAGGACAGAGGAGCAGAAACCGGAGCCGUUCUAAGAGAUGAGAAUAGAGAUUUUAUUAUGGUGUUUUCUUAUUUUGCAGACAACGAAGAACAAUAAUCAAGCAGAGGCAUUAGUUGUUAAAGCUGGAGUAAGGUGGUGCAUCCAAAAUGACAUAGAUAAAAUCAAACUAGAAAUUGACUCACAGAUCAUCACUACCAUGUUGAAUGAAAGAGGAACGGACAAUCUAAAACUCAAAAACAUCAUCAACAGGAUCUCCAGGACGGUCAAUAUGGUCAUAAUCCAAAUCUCUCUUUUGUUACAGGGAGGCAAACAAAAUGGCUGAUUUUCUUGUCAAAAUGGCUUCUAGCAGUAGGAAGAGGACCUUAUAUACUUCUUACCAUGGAUUACCCAGAGAAUUUAAGGCCCUAAUACAACUGGAUAAGCAAUAGACCCUUCCUUUAGAAGGAAAUAUGAAAAGUGUAAUAUUUGAGUUUUGUUGUUCUUUUAGCUUUGAAAUUAGCGAAAUAAUAGAGAAAGAGUUGGAGAGGAAAAAUAUUGCAAUUGUAUUGUCAAAGAGCAUUAUUUUAUUAAUAACUCAAAAUAUAUAUUUAUGGCUAAAUUUCUAAUUAUACUUCAAUUUAAAUUGGGAUAACUAAUUCUUAUUCAAAUAACAAAAGGAUAACUAAUUCCUAAGUCAUAAGACUCUAAUAAUUUAAAACUACUAAAAUUAUCUACUCCUAUUUUAUUUCUGAGACAUAUCUUCAACACUCCUCCUUGGAUCAAAAAUUGUCUCGGUUUCAACUGAAUUUGACCUCUUGAAUAAAUCUGCCAAUUCAUCUUUGUUCAUGCAUGGCUUAUGUGCAUCUCCUGUUGGAUUAAAUAAGAAACUUUUACCUCUCAUAUCAACUUGUAAAAUUUUAUGAUUAGUGGAAUCAAAAAUUCGAUAAUAUUUGUCUCCAAAUAAUAGUUUAAAUCCUUCCUCCACUAGUUGCUUCCAUUCUUUGACGUUGUAGGCAGCUUGAAAGUUUGAAGGUUCCAGGACAACAAGAUUACUUUUUUCAUAAAUUUCAGCCAAUGGUCUAGUGCCUCUAACAGCAAAAUGUUCAUCUUUCUCUGUUUCCAAGUCUUCACGUGAAUCUUGAGAAGUAGGUUCAACAACCAUCUUUCUGACUUGAGAGAUAUUCCAAUCCCAAUAAGCAUUCCAUCUUUAGUUCAUCUCUCAAUUAGCGUCGCAAAUGUUGAUAGAUUGUUUAUACUCCAAUAAGAAAGCUUGGUACCAAUUGUGGCUUGAGGUCGGAAUAGAUCCUUGUUUGAAACGACUCAAAGAAAAUAUGUACGGGUUUGAUUCAAGAACUAACAACGAAUUCAAAAGAUAAAAUCUUGAAAGAAAAGUAGGACGAUGAAAGAAAAAGGCUCAAGAACUAUCAAUCAACUUAGUAGAUAAGUUACUAGUUGAUGAGUAGUUAAGAAUCAAAGAAGAGAUUUAAGAAUCAAGAAAUGGAAAAUAAGAAUCAAACCUUGAGAAAUGGAGUUUUAAAUGUGUUGAGAUGUGUUUUAAGACUUGAAUUGAUGUUGGAAAGUGUUGAUAAACUUGGAUUGGUGUUGUUGAAGUUGAUUCACGUCAAAAGGAGGUGAUUUGCAUUGAGUAUGACUGAUCUGCGUUGCCAGCCUGCUCCAGCAGUUGGACCACAGGUGCAAGGCACCUUGGAUGCAGGUUGGGGCCUUGGAUACUUCCUUGAGGUGCGGCCACAGGUCAAGGGCAGACCAGGCGCACCAUGGGAGCAGAUGCAAGGCAGAUUGGCCGCCUUUCCCUUUGUGUUUGGCCAAAAUUGCCCUCCAAAUGGUCCUCUCUUUGUGCUCUCUUGCGGAAUUUUCUUUUAUGCUUUUGUACAAACACUUUUUCCACACUUUUCUUCCUUCUUUUUGAAUCAAACACCACCUUUUACUAAGAAUUCAAGAUGAAGAUAUGAAUCUUCCUCAAGUACACUUAAGGAUACCAAAACUUCAAAAUGCUCUAACUCUUGAACCAAUGAUCGGAAUGCGAUGAAAUUUUGACCCGAAGCUCUUUUCAACCUUAUAUACACAUUUCAAACAUCAUUUUGUUCAAAUUCACAACCAAAAAUUUUAGAUUUUCAAUUUACAUCAAACUUCUUCAACCCAAGCUUCCAACAAGGACAGAACACUCAAAUGGACUCCGAUUAAGCUCAAAUUUGAACCCUAGACUCCUAUAGUGCUAGAGAACACAAAUCUAACACUAGAAGCACAAGAAAAACAAAAAAUCAAAAACUAAAAUUUUGACCUAGGACUAAAAUCGUGAAUAUACUUUUUUGGGAAUUUUUGAUUUUUGACUCUUUUUUGUUGAUUUUCGAGAUUGCAAAAUCCAAAACUAGAAUCGUGGAAACGAUUCUAAGCUCGGCUCUUGAUACCAAAUGAUACACGAACAAAGUACAAAAUCAAAAACUAAACUAUGAUACGAAUACGAAAGCUAAAGAUAUCUAGAGAAGCAAUAAGAUAGACACAAUGCAAGGAAUUGAAAGCAAAUAAAGGGUAUAUCAAUCCCUAAACCCUCAAUCAAUUAAACCGAAUAAAGCACCUAAAUCUUACGUAAACCUCAAGGGAAUCGAUUCUCAAUUAACCCACGUUUCUAAACAAAAGAUCAACACAAGCGAAUCCAUGCUUACCUCACACUCUCACAAGUGUUCAAAUUCAUAAUUCAACAUAAAAUACUUACUAAAAUGAAAAGAAUUCUUAUUUAUAGUCUAUGCUAGAUUAUUACAUCAUAUAGGCCCAAAAGUGACCCAUUUAGGAAAGGCAAACAUAUAAAAGCCCAUUAGGCACUUGCUUGAGCAUAUGGGGCACAUCCCAAUGGUGUAGUGGGCUGUUUUGACCCGCUCUAGCGGAUCUAGAGCGGGUUGGGUGCACCUCCAAAGUGGAUGGGUGCAUCUCCUCUUCCGGGGGGGCUUUCUAGCCCCGUUUGGUCUUCCAUCGGCCUCUCUAACAUACCUUGAGUCUCCUUGGUCAUCAUAAUCAUCCAAUGGAUACCUUUUAAUAUCCCUCAAGAAGUCAUCAAAUGUCACUUGACUCGUAAGAAUUCUCUCUAGCAAUCCAGAGGCCAUUUGGAUUGUAUCAGUAUAGCAAUAAAGCUGCAUAGUCUAUUGUUAUAACUCACGGACAGAAAAAUCCAUUUGUAGGCUACAUUUGGCAUUGCGCUAUUCCAUUUAAAGUAUCCUUUUUGGAGACUUCUCUGCAACAAACUGCCUUUCAAAGAUGCAAUUACCAAGUUUGGGAAGCAGGGAUUCACCACUUGUAUUUGCAGCACCAUCCCAUCGAAUGAGAACCCACAACAUGUUUUUGUUGAAGGCAAUGUUGCAUAUUAGAUCUAAAAAAAGGUUGAAAAAAUUCUUCUCCAGAUCUCUCCUAUAACGGUAAUGUGGGAAGUUUAAAAAUCUUAGUGUUUUUGCAGAUUUGGUAACAAGAAGAGGUUUAACAUACAUAGUAUGGAGGUUCGAGUCAUGUGGAAUAUCAGAACCGCACUCAACCUGGCAUUCCUAGAUCUGAAUAUUGAAGGAGAAUGGCAUCUCUUUUGUAAGACUAUAGAAAGAGCUAAACAUGUUAUGAUAUGCUCUCCAAUCCUCUGGACCAGACCUAGUAGGGGUUGGGUCAAACGUAAUACGGAUGGAAGCUAUGUGGAGCAGGACAGAGGAGCAGAAACCGGAGCCGUUCUAAGAGAUGAGAAUAGAGAUUUUAUUAUGGUGUUUUCUUAUUUUGCAGACAACGAAGAACAAUAAUCAAGCAGAGGCAUUAGUUGUUAAAGCUGGAGUAAGGUGGUGCAUCCAAAAUGACAUAGAUAAAAUCAAACUAGAAAUUGACUCACAGAUCAUCACUACCAUGUUGAAUGAAAGAGGAACGGACAAUCUAAAACUCAAAAACAUCAUCAACAGGAUCUCCAGGACGGUCAAUAUGGUCAUAAUCCAAAUCUCUCUUUUGUUACAGGGAGGCAAACAAAAUGGCUGAUUUUCUUGUCAAAAUGGCUUCUAGCAGUAGGAAGAGGACCUUAUAUACUUCUUACCAUGGAUUACCCAGAGAAUUUAAGGCCCUAAUACAACUGGAUAAGCAAUAGACCCUUCCUUUAGAAGGAAAUAUGAAAAGUGUAAUAUUUGAGUUUUGUUGUUCUUUUAGCUUUGAAAUUAGCGAAAUAAUAGAGAAAGAGUUGGAGAGGAAAAAUAUUGCAAUUGUAUUGUCAAAGAGCAU
rnacentral:lncRNA from 1 species